UGGGCGGGUCCACCGUCAAAAUUAAAACAGCUACACAACACGAAGUCCUCUGGGUUCAGCUUUAUCAGCUCUCCUGCAAAUGUCUGACUGAACCUGACGUUCAGCUAUGGAGAGAUUCUCGCUGUUGAUUAGGCUACCAUAGGUGGUCCGCUGUCAGCAUAAACUACAAAGCUGGGACAAGAACUCAGUCUGCUCUCAGCUUUAUCAGCUCUGCUGUCAUGGUCGCUUUAACAUGGCCGUCACUCGUGGUUUUGUUCGCCUGUUCAUGGAUUGUUCUGUGUCAAGAGACACCGGAGCUGAAGGACAAGCCUGGAGAGAACGCCACUCUUCAGUGUCAGAGUCACAGAGGUGCUGACAUAGAAGUGAUAAAGUGGAUCAGACCUGACCUGAAGCCAGGUGAUUAUGUCUUCUACUUCAGAGACGGCCGCUCACAUGAAACUACCAGCAUGAAUCUUAUCGUGGUCGAGUGGAGCUGAGAGAUCCAGAGAUGAAGGACGGAGACGCUUCUGUGAUUCUGAAGAACGUCAACAUCAACGACGCUGGAACAUAUGAGUGUUGGGUUAGAGAGGGAAACAAUCCAGGAAAAUCUACAUUCAACAGCAUCAUCAGUCUGACAGUGACAGAUCCAGGUCACACAGCUGGACACAAGGAGGGAGGAGACGAGGAGGGAGGAGACAAGGAGGAAGGAGACGGGGAGGGAAAUGUUGGACUGAGAGUCGGUCUGCCAGUUUGUGUGAUUCUUCUUCUUCUUCUUCUUGGUGUUGGUGGUUUUGUGAUCUUUAAAGAAUAUAACAGACCCACAGGGAAUCAACAACCUGCUAUAAACAGACAUGAACUGCAGAACCUGCAGAGAGAUUAAGAGACCAGAGGCAGCAGAUGAGAAUUAGUGAGGAUCCAGACUGAAGUCACUCUG